rnacentral:rRNA from 1 species
UACGAAGGGGGCUAGCGUUGUUCGGAAUUACUGGGCGUAAAGCGCGCGCAGGCGGUCUUCCAAGUCAGUGGUGAAAGCCCGGAGCUCAACUCCGGAACUGCCAUUGAAACUGUAAGACUUGAGGAUGAGAGAGGUGAGUGGAAUUCCCAGUGUAGAGGUGAAAUUCGUAGAUAUCGGGAGGAACACCUGUGGCGAAAGCGGCUCACUGGACCACAACUGACGCUGAGGCGCGAAAGCUAGGGGAGCAAACAGG